GCCAGUGUGGCAUAGUGGCUUGAGUGUUGGACUAGGGCUCUGGAAACCAGGGUUCGAAUCCCAGAUUGUCC